rnacentral:lncRNA from 1 species
UGUCAUUUGAUUAGCCACUGGUGUGGAAUCAGAAGGUCACACAUUUGUUUUUGAGUUGAAUGGCUGCCCAGCUGUGUACGUAUGCACCAGAACAGAGCAUGGAAUGAAGGGGACAGCCAGGGAGUUAUCAUGGUGAGUUAUAUGUGCUUUAACAUCCCUUCUUGUUACUUGAUUCUUUGAUCAACUCUGAUGUUUAGUGUUCUGCAUUAGUCAUAUGAAACUCUCCUUAUAGUAUUCCGUUGAGGCCUUUCCGAGAGGUUGGAUAGGUUUAAGGGUUUAAAUUUUAAACCUGGUCUGCACACCAAUGAAGGCCAAUGUUUAUGCAUAUGUUUGAAUAGAUCACUGUCCAGUAGAUGAAUCAGUGAAGUGAGAGCAUGUAGUAAUGGUAGGGUAGGUAUGAUUUUGUUUCAAGUUUUGUGUGAAACAUCCUAGAAUUACUUCUGUGGUUAUAUAAUGAUAUAUUUAGGAUGGGCCUUCAGGUGUUGAGACCAGAAAAAUAGAAAACUGAUAAUUUAUUUGUAUUAAUUCCCUUGUUUCCAUUUUUGUUGGAAUUUCUUGCUUUUCUAAUAGGUGUUAUGCUUUCAAGGUCCAUAAUCCUUGUGAUGUUUUCUUCUAUUGAUUUACAGGUCCUUGCGGUUGUCAUUCCCAUGACUGUGCCAUUCGCUUUUGUACAGGGUGAGCUCUGUUAUGUUCGUCUAUUUACUCGGUGGUUACUAGAGAAUAUAUUUCAUGUGCCCUGUCUUGGUUGAUAGUGUAUCUUGCUCUUGCUUUCUUACCGUCGAGGAGAUGGAUAGAUAUAGAUUCUAGGCAUGUCCUUGGUCCUUGCAAAAGAGUUCUUUUUUGCUGCCUUCAUUGCUUUAUUUGGUACCUUGCUCUUUUCCACUGUCGAUCAGAAGACAAAUUUGGCAUCA